AGCAGCCGCGGUAAUUCCAGCUCCAAUAGCGCAUAUUAAAGUUGCUGCAGUUAAAAAGCUCGUAGUUGAAUUUCGGGAUCAAUAUGUUGGUCGUGCCUCGGUACGUACUAGCUUAUUGGUUUCUCCCUUCUGACGAACCAUGAUGUCAUUUAUUUGGUGUUAUGGGAAAUCAGGACUGUUACUUUGAAAAAAUUAGAGUGUUUAAAGCAGGCUCACGCUUGAAUACAUUAGCAUGGAAUAAUGAAAUAGGACGUUUGAUUCUAUUUUGUUGGUUUCUAGGAUCGACGUAAUGAUUAAUAGGGAUAGUUGGGGGCAUUAGUAUUCAAUUGUCAGAGGUGAAAUUCUUGGAUUUAUUGAAGACUAACUACUGCGAAAGCAUUUGCCAAGGAUGUUUUCAUUAAUCAAGAACGAAAGUUAGGGGAUCGAAGACGAUCAGAUACCGUCGUAGUCUUAACCGUAAACUAUGCCGACUAGGGAUCGGAUGAUGUUAAUUUUUUAAUGACUCAUUCGGCGCCUUACG
rnacentral:rRNA from 1 species